rnacentral:rRNA from 1 species
AUUGAACGCUGGCGGCAGGCCUAACACAUGCAAGUCGAGCGAGCGGCGGACGGGUGAGUAAAGUAUGGAGAUCUGCCUGAUGGCGGGGGAUAACUACUGGAAACGGUAGCUAAUACCGCAUACCAUCAGAUGAACCCGUAUGGGUUUAGCUUGGAGGUGAGGUAAGGUCUCACCUAGGAGACGAUCCCUAGCUGGUCUGCGAGGAUGAUCAGGCACACUGUGACUGAGACCCGGCCCAGGCGCCUACGGUAGGCGGCAGUGGUGAAUAUUGCACAAGGGGCGCAGGCCUGAUGCAGCCAUGCCGCGUGUAUGAAGAAGGCCUUCGGGUUGUAAAGUACUGUCUGUCGGGAGGCGUUACCGACAGAAGAAGCACCGGCUAACUCCGUGCCAGCAGCCGCGGUAAUAC